AGAAACUGUCACAGCCAAGAGGAGCCUGAGGACACUUGACAACUAAAGGUGUAGAGUACAAGAAAUGAUUAUAAGGCGAAUGGGGGUAUGAAGUGGUGCUGGUCACGCAGGCCCCUUGGAAGUAGUAAUUCUAAGCGACUCCUCAAGCAAGUGAUCAAUGAGCAUAUCUUCGGGUAAAGACCAAAAAAAGAAGAAGAAGAAAGAAGACUGGAGGAAAUCUUAGUCAAGGGUUCUUAAAAAAAAAAGAAAAAGAAAAACAAAGAAAGGAAAGGAAAGAUCUACCAACUGGCAAAUUCCUCCUCCUGCUCCCGUUUCCCCACCCGGCACCAUCCAUGGGUUCUGGUGCUGUCCUCUGAAGACACUGAAGAUUAAAUUGAGUUUAGCCUGGCCAGGCGUGGCUCAGUGGUUGAGCAUCGGCCUAGGAUCCAGGUGAUCGUGGUUCAA